AUUGAACGCUGGCGGCAGGCCUAACACAUGCAAGUCGAACGGUAACAGGAAACAGCUUGCUGUUUCGCUGACGAGUGGCGGACGGGUGAGUAAUGUCUGGGAAACUGCCUGAUUUAGGGGGAUCACUACUGGAAACGGUAGCUAAUACCGCAUAACGUCGCAUGCCCAAAUAGGUGUACCUACUUGCCUCUUGCCCUCGUAUGUGCCCAGCUGGGAUUCGCUAGUAGGUGGGGUAACGUCUCCCCUAGUCGACGAUCCCUAGCUGGUCUGAGAGGAGGACCAGCCACACUGGAACUGAGACACGGUCCAGACUCCUACGGGAGGCAGCAGUGGGGAAUAUUGCACAAUGGGCGAAAGCCUGAUGCAGCCAUGCCGAGUGUAUGAAGAAGGCCUUCGGGUUGUAAAGUACUUUCAGCGGGGAGGAAGGGAGUAAAGUUAAUACCUUUGCUCAUUGACGUUACCCGCAGAAGAAGCACCGGCUAACUCCGUG
rnacentral:rRNA from 1 species